GGUCCUGUCCCCACAGUCUCCAGCCAGCAUCCAUCCAUCUACCCCUUGAGGACCUGUUGCAUAAAAGAAACCUCUGUGGCCCUGGGCUGCCUGGUCAAGGACUACUUCCCAGGGUCAGUGGCUGUGACCUGGGACACAGUGCCCCUGGACGGGAGCACCCUGACCUUCCCUAGCAUCCAAAUGGCGAACUCCAGUCUCUACGUCACCACCAGCCAGCUGACCGUCUCGGGCGAGCAGCCCAAGCAGUUCACCUGCAGUGUUUUCCACGCUGAGACUAACACCACUGCCAUGAAGACCGUCAGCACUGAGUGCGCCAAGAACUUCAGCGACCCCUCGGUGAGGCUCUUCUACUCCUCCUGUGACCCCAGCGGCGACACCCACACCACCAUCCAGCUCCUGUGCCGGAUCUCCGGCUACACCCCAGGCAAGAUCAAGGUCACCUGGCUGGUGGACGGGCACGAGUCCAAAGAACUGUAUGCACAGCCCGGCCCCGAGAUACAGGAGGGCAAUCUGACCACCACCUACAGCGAAGUCAACAUCACACAGGGCCAGUGGGUGUCCGAGAAAACCUACACCUGCCGGGUCAACUAUUACGGCUUCAACUUCGACAACCACGCCCGCAGGUGCACAGCCGAGUCCGAGCCCCGCGGCGUGAGCACCUACCUGAUCCCACCCACCCCCCUCGAGCUGUACGUCAACAAGUCGCCCAAGAUCACCUGCCUGGUUGUGGACCUGGCCAGCACGAAUAACUUGAGCCUGACCUGGUCGAGGGCAAACGGGAAACCUGUGCACGCAGACCCCGUCGACAUCAAGCAUCAGUUCAACGGGACGAUCACCGUCACGUCCACCCUGCCGGUGGACGUCAUUGACUGGGUUGAAGGCGAGACCUACUACUGCAAAGUGAGCCACGGCGACCUGCCCAAGGAUAUCCAGAGAUCCAUCUCCAAGGAUGUUGGCAAGCGUGUGGCCCCCAAGGUCUACGUGUUCUGGCCAGACAGAAAGGAGCUGGAGAAUCAGGAGGAGCUCACCCUCACCUGCCUGAUCCAGAAAUUCUUCCCCAAGGACAUCUCUGUGCAGUGGCUGCGUAACAAGAAACCGAUGCGGGAAGGCCAGCACACCACCACGCAGCCCGACAGGGCCGACAACAACAGCCUCGCCUUCUUCGCCUACAGCCGCCUGGCGGUCCCCAAGGCCAGCUGGAAGAUGGACGAUGAGUUCACCUGCCAAGUGAUCCACGAGGCACUGCCCAAGACUAGGACCCUGGAGAAAUCGGUGUUCAUUAACAAGCUGGCGCUCGAGGACCUGUGUGCAGAGGAAGCUGAGAGCGAGGAGCUAGAGGAGACCUGGACCAGCCUCCUUGUCUUCAUUGUGCUCUUCCUGCUCAGCGUGAGCUAUGGCGCCACCGUCAGCCUCUGCAAGGUGAAGUGGGUCCUGGACGCCAUCCUCCAGGGGCAGCCCCAGGGCUCCCAAGACUACACGAAUGUCACGCAGCGCCCACUGCCUCCUGGUGUCUGAGCAUCCCUGCGGCUGCCAAGCUGCGCUGGGAAGGAGAAAGGAGCAGACAAGUACUGAGGGCCUCAACGACCAGCAUGCAGGCGUCCAGACAGUCCAGCCCAGCCUCAAGGUCACAGGCAGCAAGGAGGCCCGUUCUCAGCUCCCACACCCACCCUACUUAGGGAAAAGUCCCAGGAGAGCAUCUGCCCCCUCCAGGGACCUGGGCUGGGAGUGGACACUGACCACCCUAGGCUCCUCCCAGGCCCCUGCGGUGGGGACCACAUCCUGACCAACAGAAACGCCCCCAUAACACGGGGAGGGCCUGGAGCUCACAGCCCACCCCAUGCUCAGAGUCCAGAGCCCACCUAAGACUCAAGAGCCCCAGUCCAGCCCAACCAGCAUCUGAGUCCAGCCCAACCAAGCCAAGAGCUCCCUCCCCAGCCUCUGUCCUGCCUCCUUGCCCCAGGUCCAAGGGCCCUGCCCCCCACCCCUGCCCUG